GAAUAAAAAUCAGUGCAGGAAAUUUCCUCCGGUAUCGAGCGCAGCGCACGCAACCCACCUCUCUCGUUCUCCCUGCACACUCGACCUCUCGCACCGCACGCCAACGCAGCCGCCGCCUCUUCUCUUCUAUCGUCGCCGUCGCCUCGUCGGAUCUGGGGAGAAAGAGAGUGUGAGGCUCCUUCCUCUUUGCCUCUCUUGCACGCAACCUCCGCCGCGCCCGCGCCCGCAUCGCUCUUCCGCGCCCCGGCGCCGCCGCGUCCGCCACUUCUCCUGCGCCUUGUCCUCCCCGUUCCUCUCUCAUAGCCGAGCUCCAACCCACCACCAUCCCCUCCUCCUUGACCGCCUCUCCCCUUGUCUGAAGGAGCACGGGGCUCGCAGCUGCGCCUGAGCCGCCACAAGGCCGUCAGGUAGAGGAGAUCCGGUGCCCACGGGCCGUUCACGCCGCUGUCCGAGGUCUCGGAGUUGACAGAGUUGCCGUCGUCAUACGAAGACGAGUCGGCGGGGAGAUGCUGGUGUUGGGAUUCGGGAGGGUCCAAUCUGCAGCAAAUCCUUGGGAGAUAUGACGCAAAGCGAACAAAUUUAAUGUGAAGUCCAUAUCCUCUGUUUCUCUGUUGGAAUGCUCGACGGCUUGCUGGCUGCAGAAGAGCUUCCUGAGGAAUACCGGAACCGAUGCCAGGAUAUACUCUGUAACGACUGCGGAAGAAAAGGGCUUUCUCGGUUCCACUGGCUGUAUCACAAAUGAGGACGAGGUCGAGCCCCCUCCCGCCGCAAUCUCCUUUUGAGGCUAUUCAACUUCGCCGACGGCCUCGACUGGGCACUCAUGGCCGCUGGCACAGUCGCCGCCGCCGCCCACGAUGCAGCAUUCCUAGUCUACCUGCACUAAUGGUCCUUGAAUUUUCUCGACACUGAGCGGAUUUAGUCUGCUCUCCACGGUCGUAGCGACGAGCCCCUCAACCAAUUUAAGCAGGUAAACCGUUGCUUCGCAUGCUCGUCUCUUAAUUGCACGCUUGACAAGGCCUACAACGUGAUAUUUACUUGAGGAGGACCCUCUGCGGUGCUAGGUUGGUAUCCGGCCCUUGGAUUGCCUUUUUUUGCUAAUUGGUGGCAGACAUGCAGAUAUAGCUGAAAGCAGAUUCAGUUUGAGGUGGCAAUCAGUUGUAUAGCUGGUUAAACUAUGCAUUUAGAUGUAUGUUAGCUGCUUCAAAAUGAAGGGGACACAGUUUUUGAUACUGGCAUACAUAAUCGUACAUUCUGUCCAAAAGUGGAGCCACAGUUCAAAAUAGGGUAAAGCUGAGUUAACAGCUCCGACAGGCGGCAGUGGCAGCCGCGGAUGAUCUAUCUAAAUCCGGUGAAUGACGGCUUCUCAAAAUAAAACAGACAUUGCUGAUGGCUCGACGACGAGCUUGGCAAGGAAGAGGUUGUCAACAAGGAGGCGCUCCCUAAGCCCUUGAAACUGCAGUAAACCAGUGGAGCAUCGACGAGCAGGCCUCCAUCUUAAGUAUCUGAAAAAAACACGAGCGGAAGCCAAAUGAGUCCACACUAUUUGAUGGUUUACAAGUGUUAGCAAAAACCAAAAGAAAAAUUGGCCCACAACUUAACUAUACAUCUACAAAGAAGCAUUUCAUCCGCAUCUGAAACUUAAG